rnacentral:lncRNA from 1 species
ACAAGUUCUUUGUUUUUAUUUCUACUUUCUCCUGCAUUUUGCUGCUGGAGGGGGUAGACAAAUGAAUACCUGGUACUGAGCUGCCUUCCAGGGUAAAGUUUAACACUGCUCUGUGGUGAGAUCUCUAAGACGAGCUGCUAACUGGACAAGAACAAUAAAAUAGCUUACUCAUUUCCAGCACCUUCUAAAACUGUAGGCUAUUUCAGAAUCUAUCAUACUGGGAGUCAAAUAGAAGUAACAACUGUUUAAGUCUCAUAAUAGCAUCUGAGCCUUCCUCCUCGAGUGCCGUGCUUCUCCUGUAAAGUUCGUCAGGAAGGAUGCUGUCCCAUCCAAAGAACUCCAAAACAGAAAUGAGAGAGAGGCACAAGAGAAAGUAGACAAAGAACUAAGACAGAAAUUUGGUAUUGUGAAAGAUAUAAGAAUACAUCUCAAGAGGAUAAAUCCCAGUGAACUUAAAGAAGAUUUUGACUAAGCUUCUACAUUUGAAUGGAAGUUUCCCAGGAAUGCUGCUUUCCCAUCCGAAGAAUCUCAAAGGAGAAUCAAGAAAGUAGCACAGCAGAAAGAAAACAAUGAACUAAGAAGGAAAUUUGGUAUCAUUAAAGAUAUAAUAAUCCAU